GAAAGAUUGCAUGGGAAGAUAGAAAAUUCUAAUGUAUAGAUAUAAAAUAAAAAUAUUUGAAAAAAAAGGUAUUUAACAUUUUGAACUUCUUAAAUAAAGAUUAUAAUUUUUUAAUGAAUAUGUGAAUGUUUAGCUAAUGUAGGUUGGUUUACUAGUAAUUAGCUCAAGGUUUCCAAAACUAAGAGUUUGAAUCAUAUUUAUUCAUUUUUUAUUGAUACUUUAUGUACGUUUCAUGAUUACAG
rnacentral:misc_RNA from 1 species